GAGUAACACGUGGGUAACCUGCCCAUAAGAGGGGGAUAACAUCCGGAAACGGGUGCUAAUACCGCAUAGUUUUCUUGGUCGCAUGAUCGGGAAAGGAAAGACGGCCUUUGUGCUGUCGCUUAUGGAUGGACCCGCGGCGUAUUAGUUAGUUGGUGAGGUAACGGCUCACCAAGACGAUGAUACGUAGCCGACCUGAGAGGUGAUCGGCCACAUUGGGACUGAGACACGGCCCAAACUCCUACGGGAGGCAGCAGUAGGGAAUCUUCCGCAAUGGACGAAAGUCUGACGGAGCAACGCCGCGUGAGUGAAAAGAAGGUUUUCCGGAUCGUAAAACUCUGUUGUCAGAGAAGAACAAGUUGGAGAGUAACUGCUCCAGCCUUGACGGUAUCUGACCAGAAAGCCACGGCUAACUACGUGCCAGCCGCCGC
rnacentral:rRNA from 1 species